CUCCUCGCUUUCCUCCACCCGAGCUCCGCCGGCUGCUCCUUGGGAGGAAGGGGACUCGCUAGACCAGGCCGAGGCCCAGCCUCAGAAGUCAGCAUUUUCAAGACCUGGCAUCCGCAGCGUUUCUGACGCGGGGACUUCUCUCUUCGGCUCUGAGGUCUCCGCGCGCAGAACCCAUGGCAGCUUUUGGUCUUACGCGUGGCUGUGAGCUGGGCUCACGCUGCGUGGCGCAUCCACCCCUCGAUUGACGCGCGGAGAAGCAUUUUUCAUUUUUUCUUUCAGCUUCCCUGAUUUCAAACAAACAUCAGAUUUAAGAAGGUGAGGACUCCAAAGAAGAUCCAAACGCGAGACCAGGAAGAUUCACGUUUCCACUACUUCUUCCAAUACAUUUCACUAAUCUUUCUA
rnacentral:lncRNA from 1 species